AUUACGCCGGCCUUCAGCUCAUAUUGCGUCAUUCACCGGCUGGAUUUCACUUCUUGUUAGUCCCGAAAACUCGGGAUUGGUAAGGGCACCCAUUAAUUCCUGGCGCAAAACUACCUGUACUAUUGAGCCAACCUGCUUGAAUUUUGGAAUCGCCGCUGUAAUUGCCCUUAGCUGGCCGUAACAUGCCACAACAGUCAGCAUACAUACGAAUACAUUCUGAAGUAGGAUGGGGUGACGGAUUAGGGUGCCCCCCUAGCAGGGGAGAGCAGGGACUGCCCGGGAAAGGGGCCGCUGGCGAAGUUAACCACCCUGUAACAACAUACAUACAUACGGCAUGCCUGCUGGUCACGCCCGUUACACCCAGGUGCUGGGCGUUGGCAACACCCACUAUUAGCCAGCCCAUGUCUUGCACCCAAUUUGGUACCUCUUCCCGCAAGUGCGCCUGCUAUACAUGCCUCUCUGCUUGUCAUAUCGCACUUGCUCAUAAUCAUCUUCAGCACAAAUGUGGGAUAUCGAAGCAAAGGUGCGCAUCCCUAACCAUGGGCAUCCAUCUCCCUACUAUCGUGUUACCAUCUAUCCAGUAAGAUGUCAAUGCACUCAAGUUUAAUGUUCAUAUGGAACGCUUGAGCCUGAGCAACUUAAAUUUGCGAAAUGAAAGCCAUGUCCACCGGAACAGCUGCGCGAAGAACUCUGUUCCAACUGUUCCAAAGGGUUCUCCUAACAGCUGUCCACAAGGCUUCGUCUGCAGCAUUGUGCGAGAAAAAGAACCGCGGGAACGCUCUCUAGAGUUUGUAGGUAAACAGAAUAGCAACAGCUGCUGAGAGCCAACCUGACGUGCGACGUAUUCCUGAGAUUGUGACCUCGUUUUCUCAAGACGCGAGGUCUGAGCAAGCCACAUUCAGGUGGUGUCGCGACAGCCCGAGCUG
rnacentral:lncRNA from 1 species